AAGAUAUUCCCUCCGUCCCAAAUUACUCAUCACUGAAAUGGAUGUAUCUAGAACUACAAUACAUCUAGAUACAUCCAUAUGUGUGACAAGUAAUUUGGAACAGAGGGACUAUAAG
rfam:Triticum urartu cultivar G1812 contig518380, whole genome shotgun sequence.